UGGGGUUCCACCUCUUCCCAUCCCGAACAGAGAAGUUAAGCCCAUUAGCGCCGAUGGUACUGCCGAAAGGUGGGAGAGUAGGUCGAUGCCAACU
rnacentral:rRNA from 1 species